UCCUGGUUAACCCAGGCAGUCUCGUUAGAGUUCCCGACAUGACUCGCUGGCAACUAACGAUAAGGGUUGCGCUCGUUGCAGGACUUAACCUAACACCUCACGGCACGAGCUGACGACAGCCAUGCAGCACCUGUUCAAGUGUCCCGAAGGAAGGCACCAUCUCUGGUGCGGUCACUUGUAUUUCAAACCCGGGUAAGGUUCUUCGCGUUGCAUCGAAUUAAACCACAUGCUCCACUGCUUGUGCGGGCCCCCGUCAAUUCUUUUGAGUUUCACUCUUGCGAGCGUACUCCCCAGGCGGUAUACUUAACGCGUUAGCUCCGAAACAGCUAGGGUUGAGCCCAGCUACUUCAAGUAUACAUCGUUUAUGGCAAGGACUAC
rnacentral:misc_RNA from 1 species